rnacentral:tRNA from 1 species
ACUUAUUUAAUAUAUUAAGUAUAAUUGACUUCCAAUCAAUAAGUUUGUUAAACAAAAUAAGUA